rnacentral:tRNA from 1 species
UCCCUGUUGCUCAGAUGGUAAAGCAUCUGCCUACAGUGCGGGAGACCCAGGUUCAAUCCCUGGGUUGGGAA